rnacentral:rRNA from 1 species
UACGUAGGGGGCAAGCGUUGUCCGGAAUCAUUGGGCGUAAAGAGCGUGUAGGCGGUCCGGUAAGUCGGUUGUGAAAGUCCAGGGCUCAACCCUGGGAUGCCGACCGAUACUGUCGGACUAGAGUUCGGAAGAGGCGAGUGGAAUUCCCGGUGUAGCGGUGAAAUGCGCAGAUAUCGGGAGGAACACCUAUGGCGAAGGCAGCUCGCUGGGACGUUACUGACGCUGAGGAGCGAAAGCGUGGGGAGCAAACAGG